rnacentral:tRNA from 1 species
GUGGGUGUAGCUCAAUGGCAGAGCAUCGGAUUGUGGUUCCGAGUGUUGUGGGUUCGAGCCCCAUCACCCACCCCU